rnacentral:rRNA from 1 species
UUAGAGGAAGUAAAAGUCGUAACAAGGUUUCCGUAGGUGAACCUGCGGAAGGAUCAUUAGUAUUUACACCAAGAGCCCGGACAACUUGCCGUACCCUGUGUGGGGCAAGAGACCGUAGGCUUUUUUUGGUAUUACCAUAACUCUUCUGUGUACCUAUUACUUGUUGCUUCCCUGGGGCAACCCAGGGAAGGCACACAUAUACUCUGCUUAUUGCAGUCAGUCUGAUAAUGUUUUUUCAUAAACGUUAAAACUUUCAACAACGGAUCUCUUGGUUCUCGCAUCGAUGAAGAACGCAGCGAAAUGCGAUAAGUAGUGUGAAUUACAGAAUUCAGUGAAUCAUCGAAUCUUUGAACGCACAUUGCGCCCUCUGGUAUUCCGGAGGGCAUGCCUGUUCGAGCGUCAUCAAAACCACUCAAGCUAAGGUUUACCUUCUGCUUGGUCUUGGAACCGGAGAUGAAUGUCUCCAUUCCGAAAUUCAGAGGCGAAUUGAAGUGCCGAAUACCUAGUAAUGUUACCGGUUGACAGCAUGUUCACAUUCCGCCAUAACCCCCUCAACUCUCCAGUUUGACCUCGGAUCAGGUAGGGAUACCCGCUGAACUUAAGCAUAUCAAUAA